rnacentral:lncRNA from 1 species
GUGUUACCAGCCUUGUCUCGGCCACCUCAAGGAUAAUCACUAAAUUCUGCCGAAAGGACUGAGGAACGGUGCCUGGAAAAGGGCAAGAAUAUCACGGCAUGGGCAUGAGUAGCUUGAAACUGCUGAAGUAUGUCCUGUUUUUCUUCAACUUGCUCUUUUGGGUAAGUGUAUCUCUUCUGAGCACGGUUUAGCUCACCUUUACCCAGCUAAGCUCUCCUCAUUCCUCUACUGAAGAGGCUGGUGUGGGGUAAAAUGCAUGCGUGUUUGGGUCAUGUCCAGCACAACCAUCCUAGAAACAAAAGAGUAAUAAUUUUUCCCCUCUUCCUGCCACAGAAUAAACCUGCAAAAUUGAAAGGUACCAGUGCAGUUAUUAAUGGAGGUGCUGUUUCUCUCUGAGGGCUUUAGUUUACUACUACUCGUAGCUAACAUAUAUAGGUGAGAAACCUGAGACUGUGCUCUGGAUAUUGAGUGCCUCUGUUUUUCUUGUCUUUUUUUCUAGAUUCCUUGAAACAAUAAGUGAUUGAAAGGAAAGUCACCCUUUCCAGGGAGGUUUCACUGUAUAAAAUUCAGCAAUUGAAUUUCAGAUAUAGGAUGGGUUGGUACUUGUGUAUAUGAGAAGAUUAUUAUAAGUUUGGCUUCUCUAGUUUUCUGCCUAGCAAGAUGAGCUUCCUCAAGCAGGGCAUCUUCUCUACAUGGUCAUGGUUUCUACAGAGAAAGCCAUGUGUGAGCGACUG